UACGUAGGGUGCGAGCGUUAAUCGGAAUUACUGGGCGUAAAGCGUGCGCAGGCGGUUGUGCAAGACCGAUGUGAAAUCCCCGGGCUCAACCUGGGAACUGCAUUUGUGACUGCAUGGCUAGAGUACGGUAGAGGGGGAUGGAAUUCCGCGUGUAGCAGUGAAAUGCGUAGAUAUGCGGAGGAACACCGAUGGCGAAGGCAAUCCCCUGGACCUGUACUGACGCUCAUGCACGAAAGCGUGGGGAGCAAACAGG
rnacentral:rRNA from 1 species